rnacentral:rRNA from 1 species
GCUCCUAGUACGAGAGGACCGGAGUGGACGCAUCACUGGUGUUCGGGUUGUCAUGCCAAUGGCACUGCCCGGUAGCUAAAUGCGGAAGAGAUAAGUGCUGAAAGCAUCUAAGCACGAAACUUGCCCCGAGAUGAGUUCUCCCUGAGACUUUAAGUCUCCUGAAGGAACGUUGAAGACGACGACGUUGAUAGGCCGGGUGUGUAAGCGCAGCGAUGCGUUGAGCUAACCGGUACUAAUGAACCGUGAGGCUUAACCUUAC